CUCAUAUGUGCACAAUUGCACCUAACACCUUCCACAUAACACUAUUACAACUUUCAGUUUAGCUUUCAGAAUAUGAUACUUUUCGCCAGAGCCUUUCUGAAUGUCCGUUUGCGCUCAAAUUUGAUAGUCAGGCUCGGUUUAACUUAAGAAGAAGAAAGAUAUCUUAACUUCUCAGUUUCGACCAUUUAUUGUCUCCGAAAGCUCUACCGAACUAAAAUCUCUAGCAGAUAGCAGUCAGAUUUUAUUUUCCACUUUUCGGGUGUCGGAAUGACAUGAAACUUUAAAUCUAACCUCAUAAAAAUAAUUCCGACAUAUUUUCAUAUUUUCAUAAUUUUCUGACACUGAAUUUUCUGCUAAAAGAUCAGUCCCGUUUCUCACAGAAAAUUCUAAAUCUUCUGUUUCCAUUCCGAUUUCAGCACAAGUCAUUUCCGACUUAUACUUUACUUCUUCAAGUCCAAAAAAAAUAGUAUCUCACACUAUUUUUAUUUGUAUUUACUUUUAUAUUAAAAUUCAGUACAUUACAAUAUCUUUUGGUAUUUUCUCAUUUUCAUCUAUACGUUUCUCAAAUAUAAAGUAUAUAUUUUUUUAGUAAUAUUUUUUUUUUUCAUUUUCACCUAUAUUUUUUCUAAAUAUUUUUAAAUAUUUUUUUUAGUAAUAUCAUUUCUCAUUUAUCCCCGUUGUUAGCAAGUAUAUCUUCAUCGUCCUCCUCAUCGUCAUCAUCAUCACCGUCGCCGGCAUAUUGGCGCCUUCGCCACCUUCGCCACCUUCGCCACAAUUGUAGAGGUAUUUUGAUCCCAUCUGAAUAUUUAUCUUUUUUAAUGUGCUUUUAUACUGUUUUAGCAUAUCUUAUUUUAAUAUUUUUUUUAUUUUCAUCUACACGUUUCUCAAAUAUAAAGCAUAUAUUUUUCUAGUAAUAUCCUUUUUACUUAUCACACAAUAUAUAGAGCAUAUCUUUUUUUUUGAUAGCAUAUCUUUUGGUAUUUUCUCAUUUUCACCUAUACGUUUCUCAAAUACAUAGUAUAUACUUUUUUCAGUAAUAUUUUUUUUUAUUUUCACCAAUAUUUUUCUCAAAUAUUUUUAAAUAUUUUUUUUAGUAAUACCCUUUCUCAUUUGUCCCUAUUGUCGGCAGGUGGUUGUCAUCGUCCUGCUCAUCGUCAUCAUCAUCAUCGUCGCCGGCAUAUUGUCGCCUUCGCUACCUUCGCCACAAUUGGAGAGGUAUUUUGAUCCCAUCUGAAUAUUUCUCUUUUUUAAUGUGCCUUUAUAUUGUUUUAGUAUAUCUUAUUUUAGUAUUUUCUCAUUUU
rnacentral:lncRNA from 1 species